AUAUAUAUAUAUAUAUAUAUAUAUAUAUAUUAACAAUCAAGCCAUUCAUAUUCUAUCCUCUCUGAGAGUAUAAGAAGAGCAAGGAAGGUUUCCUAGCAAACAGGUUAGGGUGCAUCAGCCCCCUGGGAGUCCCUGUGAGCACCUGCACCCCUGGAACAGACUGUUACAUCGGUAGCCCCCUAUGAUCUGCCCCUUCGGAGUCACACCUUGUGCAGUCUGCCUCUCUGAUCCCAGCAUGGCACUGUGACCGGCUUGACCCAUAAGAUCCGGUGGGAUUGCGCUGUGCCCGUUUCAGGCCUAAGGCUAAGAAGGCAAGCAGGAUUUGCACUCUGAAGAGCCCUGCAUCUCCAUGUAGACAUUCAGCGUCAUGGCUAUAAAAGUCUUUGAAGAGGCACUUGGGAAGGAAGAGGCCCUGAGGUUCCUUGGUCAGAGAACAUGGCCCAUGUGUCUCUUCAUCUCAGCUGAGCCCAGCCUCCAGCCGACCCACUCGCUGAAUACAGCCAUACCAAUCGCCUUGAAGAAGGCGAGCAGGAAACCUGCCCUGCUGAACCCAGCCGAGAGUGCAAAAUGUUGAGCAAAUAAAAUGGCAGCUGUUGUAAGCCGCUGACUUUUGCGGUGGUUUGUUACUGAAAUACCCAGCCGAUGCGCUUGGCUCUUAUUUCCUUAGGACAGUGGCUGACUAUUCAUUCCAGUCUGCCUGGGAACGAGGGGGUUUCCAGGACACAGGACUUUCAGUGCUAAAGCCAGGAAAGUCCCAGGCAAACCUGGAUGGGUUGGUCACCUGAGUUCCAACCUACCAAGGGAACUCCUCACUUGGUCAGCAUUCGGUAGAAAAGACUGCUCAAAAGCCAGGAAUUUCAGCCAGCUCUCCCAGGCAGGGGGCUUCAGAACCUCACCUCUGCCUUGGGACCUUGGCCAUGAGGAUCCAAGCCUCAGAAUGCUGGAAUAUUGCAGAAUGUUCUGCAGCAUAUGGCUUCCUAGUCACUCAUUCUGUGAGCCCCAGAGCCCGCUCUGCUCCUGUGCUGGGCCUGGCUACAGCUCCCCUUGCACACGUCACUGCCCUCGCUAACAAUCAAAGGGAAGAGUUCUAAGCAGUGGGUUUCCUGUUCCUCUGCUUUCUUCAGGCCCGAGCCAUCAGCUCCCACUGUCCCAGCCUUUGUGUCUCCUUGCAGUUAUUCCUCCAAAGAUUUUUGAAACACGGUACCUAUCUUUGGAAACAAAAAUCACAAGUGGUUAAUUCAUCCCUCAGAUGCCCGUAUCUAGUUCUGUAAUGUGGGUGAAAAAGAGAAGCUUGUCAUUUCUUGAUAAUUCUAUUUGGAACACAUACUGAGCAUAUUAAAAACUUAUUAAGUGC